rnacentral:rRNA from 1 species
AAUGAACGCUGGCGGCAGGCCUAACACAUGCAAGUCGAACGGAUCCUUCGGGAUUAGUGGCGGACGGGUGAGUAACGCGUGGGAACGUGCCCUUUGGUUCGGAAUAGCCUCGGGAAACUGGGAGUAAUACCGGAUAAGCCCUUCGGGGGAAAGAUUUAUCGCCAAAGGAUCGGCCCGCGUUGGAUUAGGUAGUUGGUGGGGUAAUGGCCUACCAAGCCGACGAUCCAUAGCUGGUUUGAGAGGAUGAUCAGCCACACUGGGACUGAGACACGGCCCAGAAUCCUACAGGAGGCAGCAGUGGGGAAUUUUAGACAAUGGGGGAAACCCUGAUCUAGCCAUGCCGCGUGAUCGAUGAAGGCCUUAGGGUUGUAAAGAUCUUUCAGUUGGGAAGAUAAUGACGGUACCAACAGAAGAAGCCCCGGCUAACUCCGUGCCAGCCGCCGCGGUAAAAC